CACUUCCACGAGGUUUAAAGCAGGAUCCCAAGAAGGACGUGGCAUAUUCUUCAGGUGGAGAUGUACAGAGUAAUGACCCAGGAAACAUGGGGUAGGGGGCAGAGAUGUGUGGGCAGCAGAGGGAAGUGCCCCCUCCCUGGUUUGGAGCUGACUCUUCCCAGUAACAGAGUGGCCCCGGGAGGGAAGACAGGAGGGGCUGGACUCUGAACCAGCGCGUGCAAUUCUUCAGAUGCCUCGAGCCCUUUGGAAAGGCGGCGCUGGUCUGAGUGCAUCUGUCAACGCAUCAUUUAAUCUUCUCAACAACUUUAUUUUAUGAGUGAGGAAAUCAAGACUCUGAUAGAUUAGGUGGACUUAAUUUACCCUAAAUUUACCUCUUAAAGAUGAUCCCAAGAGGCCCAGGGCAAGAGGGGAGGGGUGGCUUGGCUGAUUGACAGUACCGGCCCGCUAGGGCGGCCAGAUUUAGCAAAUAGAAAAGCAAGAUGCCCAAUUACAUUUGAAUUUUUUUCAAGUUAUUUUUAGUAUAACUAUUUGUAUAAGUAUGUCCCAAAUAUUACAUAGGACAUAUUUACAUUAAAAACUUAUUCAUUGUUUAUCUGAAAUUCAAACUCAACUAGGCAUCCUGUAUUUUAUCUCCUAUCUACUUACUCCACGUGUUCCGUCGCUCUGUCAUGUCCGACUCUUUGCAGCCCCAUGAACUGUAGCCUGCCAGGCUCCUCUGUCUAUGGGAUUCUCCAGGUAAGAAUACCUGGAGUGGGUUGCCACUCCCUCCUUCAGGAGAUCUUCCCAAUUCAGGGAACUAACCCACUCUCCUACGUCUCCUGCAUUGGCAGGCAUAUUGUUUACCACUAGCACUACCUGGGAAGCCUAGCUUUCCCCAUCCUCCCCCCUAAAUUCCAAAGAGCACAUUUUUGUUGAUGGUGAGGAGUUAACCCUUGCUGGGUGCUAAACUCUACACCCUCGUGGCUCAGAUGGUAAGAAUCUGUCUGCAAUAUAGGGGACCUGGGUUUGGGAAGAUCCCCUGGAGAAGGGAAUGGCUACCCACUCCAGUAUUCUUGCCUAGAGAAACCCAUGGACAGAGGAGCCCGGGGGCUAUAGUCCACGGGAUUGCAAAGAGUCAGACACAAUUGAGUGACUAACACACACACAUAAACUCUACACAGGCAAGACAGUUAUAUUUGAAUAGUCUGGCCGACAUUUUUUGACAGAGGGGGAAAAAGCAACCUCUCUAUCCAGACAAGGCUGGUCCAACAAGACUGGGCUGAAGCAGGACCAGUUCUGCCACAUCCAAACGUCUACUACAUCUGGUUCGUCGGAUCAUUUUUAUGUCUUUUUUUUUUUUCAUGUUGGCAGCCAGUGCCUAGGUGACUUGGACUUUCUGAACUUAAUGCAGCUUAACUGAUAAACCAUUUAAAGCAUGCUAAGCUAAAAAAGCAAAAUAUUUAAGGCUACUGGGUAUUUCAAAGGGGCAUGUAGACACACGUUCAAAAGCCCUAAGAACUAUGUAAAUACUAAAACAACUCAACAAGGAGCUUCCCUGGUGGUCCAGUGGUUAAGAAUCCGCCUUGCCAUGCCAGGACACGGCUUUGAUCCCUGGUCCAGGAAGAUCCCACAUGCCUCAGGGCAACUAAGCUUGUGUGCCACAACUACUGAAGACUGAGGGCCUAGAGCCCGUGCUACGCAACAAGAGAAGCUGCUGCCAUGACAAGCCCAUGCACUGCAACUAGAGAAAGCCCGCGAGCGGCAGCAGAGACAAAGCACUGCCAAUAAACAAAUUAAAGAAAAAAAUUCAACAAGAGCAAAACAAGGAUGACCACAGUGAACUUGGAAGCUAAGAGAAUGGCUGGUCAGCCUCAGCUGGCAGAGAACCCUAAGACUGUCUGGGAGCACAGGUCGGAUGGCCACCUGAACCUCACUAGCCCAGUCCAGUGCCAAGCCCUGGGGCUUCCUCCUCAGCCAGGUUCUACAAGGGUGCUGGACCAGGAUGUGAACAGUUCUCUUGAUUCUGCACCUUCACUGAACUAAAACCCAUGCAACCAGCUUCAGAGAUGAUGAAAUGGGAACAGCUCUCACCACUGCCAGAGGAGGGGUUCCUGGCUUGGACUCAAAACCCCUAUUACAAAAUCAAACCAUUACAAAAUCACAGGGAAAAGCCAGGAGAUUUCCCUCCACCAUCUGCUAAUUUAUAGGGUUAUUGGUGUCAGCAAUUUAGGAGAAGUUAAAUUAUAUCACAGCCCCACUCAGAACUCUGCCGUGGAAGCUCAGAAAUGUAAUCACAAAUUUUAAUUGAGAAAAAUUUCUCUGGAUCAAAUUCCUUGUGUGUGUGUAUGGGUGUUUAAGAAUCAGAUUAAAUUAUGUGUGUUGAGGGUGGGGGAGGGGAGUGGCAAUGAGUUUUAAAUUAGUUGUGAUAAAAUCGAGGUAUGAUUGUAAACCGAUUUGUGUAUUGUGUAUUGUGAGCAAUUACUGGGAGCAGACGGCUUGUCUGGGUUGUUCCCACUGAACACGGGAAAACAUCAGCCUUUGGUCAGAGGGGUUCAUUUCUCAGUGAAGGGAAGGCAAUGGGUAGAAUACCUCCCCAAAUUAGAAAAGACCCAUAUUUGAGUCCUAAGGUUCAGAAGAGGGUGACUGACAGCCUUCCCCCAACCCACCAUCCGGACCCACCCCCACGGACAGCAGUCUUUCCCACACAGUUGACCACCUCCACCUUUCCUUGUCCUCGAGUGACACUUUCAGCCUCUACCCUGACCCACCUGCCAGUGGGGUGGUCCACGAUGAGGCGGUUGGAUGGCAUCACCAACUCAACGAACGUGAGUUUGAGCAAACCCUGGGAGAUGGCGAAGGACAGGGAGGCCUGGAGUGCUGCAGUCCACGGGGUUGCAAAGAGUCGGCCACGGCUUAGUGACUGAACAGCAGCAACGUGACGGUAAUGGAGGGAGGGGCUUGGCCACCCCACAGCUCCAUUCAGCUCACGCGGGCUGAUUUUCCCCUCUGCUUUCCACCUGCAGACAUGUUCACCUCCUUCCCGAUCAGACAUCUCUAAGGCGGUUAGAAGACUCCCCGUCAGGACACGGGGCUGUGGGGGUCCCCAGGCCCUCCCUCCAAGCCCCACGGUCCCAUCUCCCACCCCCAGAGCCCACAUGUCCUCUGGGCUCCAGUCCUGUGGUGCAGGGCAGACAGCCCUGCCACCUGCUGGGAGGGGGGCUUCUGUCCGGUGUGAUUCCUUCCUCUCCUCCUCCCGACUUCCCGUCUCUUUCAUCCUGCCCCCCUGCCACCCUUUCCUGCAUUUCCUGUACUUGGGGCCAAGGCCAAGUGUGUGUGCACACGUGCGUGCUCAUCGGCAGGUGAAGCUGCGUGCACUUGCUUAUUUAUCUCAAGAAGCAGAGGAAGUUGAGGUGUUGCUGGUUCUUACCAUUUCAUCUUGAUUUAGUCAUUUUUAUAUGGCUCGCAAGGCACAUGCAGAUUUCUGUUUCUUUAUUUGUUCAUUAAAACUUCAAUAAAAAUGUUAUAAAAAUGUC